CAACUACUCCCUCUGUCCCAAAUUUCUUGUCUUAGAUUUGUCAAGAUAUGGAUGUAUCUAAUACUAAAAUGUGACUUGAUACAUCCAUAUCUAGACAAAUCUAAGACAAUAAUUUUAGGACGGAGGGAGUACUGU
rnacentral:pre_miRNA from 1 species